rnacentral:rRNA from 1 species
GACGAACGCUGGCGGCGUGCCUAAUACAUGCAAGUAGAACGCUGAAGAGAGGAGCUUGCUCUUCUUGGAUGAGUUGCGCACGGGUGAGUAACGCGUAGGUAACCUGCCUUGUAGCGGGGGAUAACUAUUGGAAACGAUAGCUAAUACCGCAUAACAAUGGAUGACACAUGUCAUUUAUUUGAAAGGGGCAAUUGCUCCACUACAAGAUGGACCUGCGUUGUAUUAGCUAGUAGGUGAGGUAAUGGCUCACCUAGGCGACGAUACAUAGCCGACCUGAGAGGGUGAUCGGCCACACUGGGACUGAGACACGGCCCAGACUCCUACGGGAGGCAGCAGUAGGGAAUCUUCGGCAAUGGGGGCAACCCUGACCGAGCAACGCCGCGUGAGUGAAGAAGGUUUUCGGAUCGUAAAGCUCUGUUGUAAGUCAAGAACGGGUGUGAGAGCGGAAAGUUCACACUGUGACGGUAGCUUACCAGAAAGGGACGGCUAACUACGUG